UACGAAGGGUGCAAGCGUUACUCGGAAUUACUGGGCGUAAAGCGUGCGUAGGUGGUUAUUUAAGUCCGUUGUGAAAGCCCUGGGCUCAACCUGGGAACUGCAGUGGAUACUGGAUGACUAGAAUGUGGUAGAGGGUAGCGGAAUUCCUGGUGUAGCAGUGAAAUGCGUAGAGAUCAGGAGGAACAUCCAUGGCGAAGGCAGCUACCUGGACCAACAUUGACACUGAGGCACGAAAGCGUGGGGAGCAAACAGGAUUAGAAACCCCGGUAGUCC
rnacentral:rRNA from 1 species